rfam:Stegodyphus mimosarum contig21499, whole genome shotgun sequence.
GCCUUUGUGGUGUAACGGUAGCACACUCGACACGCAUUCGAAAGGUCCAGGUUCGAAUCUCGGAGAGGGCA